CUCGUAUGAUGCCGACAUGGCAUGUCAUGAUUUAAUCAUGCCGACACAACAAAGAUAUGGGAUGAUGUGGCAUUAGUUUUUGAUCAUUUAUAUUGAAACCCCAAAGCACUUCAUAUUGUUAGAGACUUCAGAGAGAUUGCGCACGUGUUAAACCAGCAACAAGAGAUGAUGUAAAAGGGACGCGGAGUGGAAGGAACCCAGAAAGAGACCCUCCACCAUCCGAACCAAUGAAUGCACCCUGGUGGGGCCUCCUUGCCAUCUCCUCCUUCGCCCGAACGCCGGAAGACAGCGGCCUCUUUUCCGAAUCUCGACCACCUUUUCUUCUGGGGAAAGGACGUGACACGAUUCGUUUGCUGUGGUUGCUUCGGCCGCCGACUUCAAACGACUUCUUUCCCCUUGUCUUCGAAAAAAAUCCCCCAGGCGGCCACUUCCACUUCUUUUCUA
rnacentral:lncRNA from 1 species